UGAUUUUAAGUACUGAAAGUGAUUGCAAACUGAUGUAGGCAUGACGAUAGGACAAAAUUGAUUAGGUUUGUGAGCUGGAAGACCACACCUUCACCACACCCCUGUGUGAUCUCAUGGCCCGACCUGACCCCACCUGUAUGCCCACCUGCCCACCAGGCUAUGUAACCUCGCCCCUUUGGAAGUGAGUAAAAGGUCUGGGGCACAGUGGGCCCUUCCCUUCAUUGCCCUCUUUUGAAGCCCUUGUUGCCCCAUGCCUUCAGGGAGUGUGGCCUUCCCCUGCACGAUUGUUACACAUGGCUUGCUCCUGGCCUGCUCUCUGCUUUGUUUGGACCCAACUUAGCCUCUAGACUUCUCUUUCUCCCCUAAAUAAAGCCCUCAUUCCCAUGCGCAUUUCUCUCACUGAAUAAAAUCCUUAAAACUUACCAUGUCCUCUGGUCUGUUUGAGCCAGUAUUCAGAAUUCUCUGAAUAUAUGACAAGAGCCCACAAGCUUAUUAACAUUGAAAAAUAUUAAUAAGCAGGACGAUAUCAAAACUGUGCUCAAACAGGAAAUUGCAUUUCAUUCUUAACAGAGUGAGUGGGUGAAAGAUAAACCUGGCACAUACACUGUUGACAUGCUUCAAUCUACAAUCCAAAGACUGCUUUGUUCAGUCUCAAACAGUGAAUCGGAGAUUCUGGGACUCUUCUGUGGUUUUGCAGAGUUAAGUCAGCAAGAAAAUGAAGAAAUAUAGAGGCUUUUGAACAAUUGCAUGGCAUUUGUGAAGCUGAAAAGCAACCUCUGGAUCUUCAAGUUUCCUGCAUUUGAUCUGUCUAGCCUACUUUAAUGGACCUCAUUCACUUAAACUAAAACUCACAAUGUGCUAUGAAAAUGAUGACAAGUAUUUCCCAGAAAGGCUAAAAAUGGGUAAUUGUGCGUAUUUUCUUUUUAAAAACCACUGAUUGUCUACAGAGAAAAACCAUCAGAGCCUCAGUCUAAUCAUUCACUGCUCAUCCUCACAUUAUAUUAAAACUUUAAUAUUUUAAUAAAUUUAUGGAGAUGUAGGAAAAUAAAAGCCCU
rnacentral:lncRNA from 1 species